UACGUAGGGUGCGAGCGUUGUCCGGAUUUAUUGGGCGUAAAGAGCUUGUAGGCGGCUCGUCGCGUCGGGUGUGAAAACUUGCGGCUUAACCGCAAGCCUGCACCCGAUACGGGCGGGCUAGAGUUCGGCAGGGGAGACUGGAAUUCCUGGUGUAGCGGUGGAAUGCGCAGAUAUCGGAAGGAACAUCAGUGGCGAAAGCGACUUCCUGGACCAAUACUGACGCUCACGUGCGAAAGCGUGGGGAGCAAACAGG
rnacentral:rRNA from 1 species